UUAAAAAGCUCCAUUUCAGCACCAAUGGCAAUGUAAAUAAGAUGAUUUAAUGUUGAUUUUAAUCCUGUAUAUAAAAUAAAAAGUCACUGAGUUCAAGCAUAUUUAAUGAUGAUUACGGAGCCUUAGAGGUCUUUAAUCAUUGGUUCGGCUGCUUUUUGUAGUUUGUUUAGGCUGGGCUGCGUUCCUUUUUUUUUCACUUACAAGAAAGGCCUGAAUGGAGGACUUUUCUAUGACCAGGAGCAUUUUCUAGGGGUCAAAGUGCUAAUUAUUAACUCAACUGGGUCUCCUUUUUAAUGGCUUUCUUAACACUAACUUGCAAGAUUACAGAUCAACACAUUUCAAAUGGAUAUAGACCUGGGGUUCUGGAGGGAGGGGGUUUGUUAAAACAACACACAUUCAAAGAAAGAAAUUUUGUAUAUAUAACCAUUUUAAUCUUUUAUAAAGUUUUGAAUGUUCAUGUAUGAAUGCUGCAGCUGUGAAGCAUACAUAAAUAAAUGAAGUAAGCCAUACUGAUUUAAUUUAUUGGAUGUUAUUUUCCCUCAAACCUGAACAUUGACGUAGUUGGUAGUUAUUUUUCGGUUUUAGCCUUUAUAUUUCCCUCACAGUUUGGAAUCGUAUAAUCUAGGUACUCUGUCCCUGAUUAAAUAAUGUGAUGGAUAGAAUGCAUUAAGUGUUUUAUUAUAAAGAAGAGUGGAAAAGUGUCUAGCUUUCAGCAAACGGUGUUUGCCCAUUCUAAGCAAGGAGCACAUAUAUAGAAAUAGUAUGGGCAUUGCUUCUUAUUAGGUGGAGUGUAUGUGUUGAAAUUUCUCCCUAUCUCUUCCCACUCCAUUUUCUCCCCUUAAUUUGAAUAAAAUGACUGCUAAAGAUGACUUUGAAUUAUUAUCUGCUUAAUUUAAUGUUUAAAGAAACCCUGUGAUGGAAAGAAAGCAUUUAGGUGUCUUUCCUAAUUUUAGUUUAGAAUGAUCUUGAGAGCUCAAGAUAAAAAAUAAAAUGCGAAUUGAAAAAGAGCAGACCCAACAGGGAUUCUUUUUCUCAGAACCUCUUUUGACUAGAAGGAGCUACAGUAGCCACCGUCAUACACCCUGUCUUUAGGCAAGUUUCCUCGGUUGCUGUGUUAAAUGUGACCAACCUUUGGGUGUUCUAGAGCACAGAAGAACUCUGUGUCUACCUAUGAGGUUUUUAUUUUUCCUCUUUCAUUACAAUGCACAUAAUACGUUCCUGUAUUUAUAUUAUAACAUGUAUAGUGUAAAAUGUGAAUGAUUGUUUUUUUUUUGUGAAUGAAAAUCUAAAAUCUUUGUAACUUUUUUAUACCUGCUUUUGUUUCACCAAAGAAACCUAAAAUCCUUCUUUUACUAUA
rnacentral:lncRNA from 1 species